UUUUCAAGGUUGCGAAGGGAGACGUCAGUCUUGAUGAGCUCAAAGUGUUGGCUAAAGAGUUUAAAUCAAUUAGACCUAUUCAAGGGAUAAUCUCUUCUUUCUUUGGAAAACCAUGGGAGAUUAUAAUUGCAAAAGAACUUCCAGAGUGCACAAAAGCAGAACAAUUGCUUCGUUUUCCUGUAAGUUUUACACACUACUAGAGUAAGUGAUGAUAUUUCAAAUUGCUUAAUUAUUGUACUAACUUAAUUAUAUUUAGUAUUUUUGCACAAGUGAAUAUAAUAAAUCCUACAAGUUGAUUGGUCAAAUUGGAUGUAUUAAGCUGACAUUAUACCAGGGUCUGAAAUUUAAAUAUUUUCUCAGUAUCCAACUGGGGAACCAGGAUUCAAAGUUUAGUUUCCCCCCUGAGAAUGCAAUAUCCCACUUCUUGAUACUGGUUACCAUAAGUAUUCUACCCUAUCCCAUCCAAUAACUCUCGCUGUUACAAGCUAUCAGGAGACUGUCAGAGGUGCUUAACAUUUCCCUAAUCAUGUUUCGCUCGCUACUCUGGUUUAAAUAAAUUAUUACAAAGCCCAGUCGAAUUGUAAUCAAGACCUUGUAAUCAAGACCCUUGAUUACAAUUCGACUGGGCUUUGUAAUAAUUUAUUUAACCCAGAGUAGCGAGCGAAACAUGAUUGAUAUACCUGGUUGCAGUGAACGAACAAAUUUUAAAUUUCCCUAAUGUUUGAAAUUUUGUUAGUAUCCAGUUGGGAUACAAGUCAUUCACAGUUUGGUAUCCAAAACCAAAGUUUAGUAUCCUGUGGAUAUCGGGAUACUGCAAAUUUCAGACCCUGUAUAUUCACCUACAAGUGAAUACAAAACCAAGUUACUAGUAAAGAAAUACAGUAAGCAAAAUUAAAAUAAAUUCAGUCCGAAAAACACAAAAGACUUGUGUAAAAAUACUAAAACAAUUAUUCGCCUCAGGCUCAGGGAAUAUUCACCUCGACUUCGUCUUGGCGAAUAUUCCCCGAUAAUCACUUCGGUGAAUAAUUGUUAAAUGUUUACAAUUUUCUAGGCAUUGUCAAAGGGGUAAUUAUGUACUGCAGUUUCCAUAUUUGUAAUACAAAUACCCAUUGACUGACAAUGUGCUCAAAUGCACCCAAUGUUAUUAUUUUACUUUGUCUAAUGCCAGAUGAUUUUACUUGUCAAGGUGUUAGAGUCUGGCAGCUUAAUGUGCUAACAUUCUCUAUCUGUGAAUUUCUCCUGUUAAUCCAUUGACUGGUAAUGUGCCCCGCUUUAUUCGUGAACUGCACCGUCUAAUCUACAUGUAUUACUUGUGGCUUAGGAAACCUUGCUAUGGUGCAGUCAGUUAGUGCUUUUAUGGUGUACCAUGCUUCUGUUGGUGAUAAGUUACUGCUGGACCAUUUCAACUUUGGUGAAAGUUGUCCAUCAAAUUUAAUUAAUCAAGGACAGAGGAAUGCAUUUGGUUAAUUAAUCAAGGACAGAGGAAGCAUGUGGUUGGUUAAAUGAUCUAAUAAGAAUGUUUAGCCAUGAAGGUGAUUGGGUGUUCGAUAUGAACUCUUCACAAGGUACCCUAUAGUAAUUAAUGCCUGUUUAGCUACAGGACCACUUUGUUACUUUACAGCAUAGGGUUAACACCCCCCCCCCCACCCCUCCUCAGUGAAUUCGCCCCCCCCCCUAGGAUCUCUCUAACCCCUCCAAUAAAGUGUUCAACCCCACCAAAAUUUCACUUCACCUCUCCUAUUUUGUGUGAAAGGCUUUAACCCAAACGGCUAACCCCUGCAGAAGCUCACUGAGUGGUGCCGCUUGCACCCCACUAGAAAAUUUUCUAGCCCUCCUUUUACAUACAUGUAAAUGAAAAUCCGCCCUUGCUUUACAGUGAAUACUGUCCAUGCUUAUCUAGCCCGCGUGCAGGCACACCGAGGGAAGAAUAGUGGGCCUGCAAGGAAGACCGGGUGUUUUGUAAAACGCCCCUUUUCAUAACACGCCCCAUUCGCAAGUCAAUUGUCAAACAAGAACCAACGACAGCAACCCAAAUAGUAUUAAACAAACUUGCAAUAAAAUGAUGCGGGGAUUUCUCUGCGUAUUCAGAAUAGAAACAAUAUGUAAAUAAAGCAAAAAAGCAAGCAAACCAGUCAGCUCCAAAUCCUGCCCAAUUUGCAAGUGCUCAAUUUCACUUACUUAGUUUCACUAAGUACGAAAUUUAUUUCAGCUAUUUAAUCUGCUAAAGAACUCGACAAAAGAAGAGAGAGUUCAGAUUCCAGAUCUUUUCAAAUGGCAAUUACCAUCUUCUGUUUUGCCCUCUCAGAAAGGAAGCCCUGCAAAUCGCAAAGUGUUUCGAACAGGCUUACUUGCAACUACCUCUAAAUCUUCACCACGAAAAGUGCUGUUUUCUUCAGUGUAAGAACAGAGUCAACAUGAACCAAAACAUAAUUUUCUUAAGGAACAUAUAAACGUAUCAAAUUUGUUUUAAAUUAACAAAACUCAAGUAUUAAAAGGUUUAUACUAUAGUUUACCCCAGUGGUAAUGUUGCUAUUCUAACACUUCAUGACAAGCAAUCCCGCUGGCAUAACGGCAAAAACAUCUCUUCCUUCAAGUAAACAAUAAGCGAUCGGUUCUUGUACUGGUCAUUAUUAAUCGAAAAAAGUGAUCAGAUCCAAUAUUAAGCUUAUUGAGAGCUUUGUGAUGAAUCACUGAUCUAAUUAUACAGUCUAACAGCAAACAGCCAAUCAGAAUGCUGCGUUCGUGUGCGAACAUGACAAAUACAAAAUACCCGGUCUUCCUUGCAGGCCCACUAUUCUUCCUUUGGUGGGCCUGCAUGCAGCUAAUGCUUAUGCAGUAAUAUACAUUAUACAUAAGUGCAUUGUACAUACGAUUCUAUUAAGGUUCUCUUUCAAAAACUUAAAAUUUAAACUCUGAUUGUGCAAGGGAUGAUGGAUUAUUGAACUCUGGCCUACUCUGAGUUUAAGGUUUAAGUUCCGGUCUUACUGUUUGGAAGAACAACCUUAAUUGUAUCACCCCCAUAUAUAGAUAAUAGAUAGCUUAAGAUCUACGACGUCGACGUCAGCUAGGACGUCAGGGCUAAACAGAGGACUGGGACUACAUUAGGACGACGUCCCAGUCCUCUGCAUAGCCCUGACGUCCUAGCUGACGUCGGCGUCGUAGAUCUUAAGCUAUCUAAUAUAUAUAUAAAACGUAAUUAUUUAGAAACAUUCUCUAAUAUUCAGUAUUGGUAACUUAUUACAGGCAAUGCAGUUGUUGCUGCAGUUGGGAUGAAACGAAAUGGUCUUUGUAUUGUCCAGUCUGAUGAUGAAGAAUUCGUCACGAAAAGAAACUUUAGAAAGCUGAUGG
rnacentral:lncRNA from 1 species